rnacentral:rRNA from 1 species
CGUGUAGGUGGGCCUUUAAGUCGAUGGUGAAAUCCUGCGGCUCAACCGCAGAAUUGCUCUCGAAACUGGAGGUCUUGAGUGCGGCAGAGGGAGAUGGAAUUCAUGGUGUAGCGGUGAAAUGUGUAGAUAUCAUGAAGAACACCAGUAGCGAAGGCGGUCUCCUGGUCCGCAACUGACACUGAGGCGCGAAAGCGUGGGGAGCAAACAGGAUUAGAUACCCUGGUAGUCCACGCCUUAAACGAUGGGUACUCGGUGCUGGGCCGCGAGGCUCAGUGCCUAAGUUACGCAAUAAGUACCCCACUGGGGAGUACGAUCGCAAGGUUGAA